GACGAACGCUGGCGGCGUGCCUAAUACAUGCAAGUAGAACGCUGAAGGAGGAGCUUGCUUCUCUGGAUGAGUUGCGAACGGGUGAGUAACGCGUAGGUAACCUGCCUGGUAGCGGGGGAUAACUAUUGGAAACGAUAGCUAAUACCGCAUAAUAGUAGAUGUUGCAUGACAUUUGCUUAAAAGGUGCAAUUGCAUCACUACCAGAUGGACCUGCGUUGUAUUAGCUAGUUGGUGGGGUAACGGCUCACAAAGGCGACGAUACAUAGCCGACCUGAGAGGGGGAUCGGCCACACUGGGACUGAGACACGGCGCAGACUCCUACGGGAGGCAGCAGUAGGGAAUCUUCGGCAAUGGACGGAAGUCUGACCGAGCAACGCCGCGUGAGUGAAGAAGGUUUUCGGAUCGUAAAGCUCUGUUGUAAGAGAAGAACGAGUGUGAGAGUGGAAAGUUCACACUGUGACGGUAGCUUACCAGAAAGGGACGGCUAACUACGUG
rnacentral:rRNA from 1 species